CCUAAGUAGCGGCGAGCGAACGGGAAACAGCCUAAACCACAAUUGUUACGGCAACUGUGGGGUUGUAGGACUGCAAUAUUCAAAUGACUGUGAACUGGAAUGUUCUGGAAAGUUCAUCCAUAGAGAGUGAAAGACUCGUACAGGCAAGCACGUCAGGCGAUAGCAGUAUCCUGAGUAGGGCGGGACACGAGGAAUCCUGUCUGAAUCCGCCGGGACCACCCGGUAAGGCUAAAUACUCCCAAGAGACCGAUAGUGAACCAGUACCGUGAGGGAAAGGUGAAAAGAACCCCGAACAGGGGAGUGAAAUAGAACCUGAAACCAUACGCUUACAACCUGUCGGAGCGGCUUCGUGCCGUGACGGCGUGCCUAUUGAAUAAUGAGCCUACGAGUUACUAAUCACUGGCAAGGUUAAGUGCACGGAUGCACGGAGCCGAAGCGAAAGCGAGUCUGAAUAGGGCGUUUAGUCAGUGGUUGUAGACGCGAAACCUUGCGAUCUACCCUUGAGCAGGUUGAAGGUUGGGUAAAACCAACUGGAGGACCGAACGAAUAAGCGUUGAAAAGCUUCUCGAUGACUUGAGGGUAGGGGUGAAAGGCUAAUCAAGCUGGGAAAUAGCUCGUACUCCCCGAAAUGCCUUUUGGGGCAGCGUUGUAAUAAAGAGUCUACUGGAGGUAGAGCUACUGAUUGGAUGCGGGGGCUUCACCGCCUACCAAAUCCUGACAAACUCCGAAUGCCAGUAGUAUGAUUUACAGCAGUGAGCGACCGGGUGCUAAUGUCCGGUUACGAGAGUGGAACAACACAGACCAGCAACUAAGGUCCCCAAGAGUAUACUAAGUUGAUCUAACGAUGUUUUGCUGCAGAGACAGCUAGGAUGUUAGCUUGGAAGCAGCUAUUCAUUCAAAGAGUGCGUAACAGCUCACUAGUCGAGCGGCAAAGCGUGGAUAAUAAACGGGCAUCAAGUAUACCACCGAAGUUCUGGGCACGAAAGUGCGGUAGGGGAGCAUUCCAUUCCGCGUUGAAGCCGAACCGUGAGGUUUGGUGGAGUGUAUGGAAAAGCAAAUGUAGGCAUGAGUAACGAUAAUGCGGGAGAGUAACCCGCACACCGCAAGACCAAGGUUUCCUGAUCAACGCUAAUCGGAUCAGGGUUAGUCGGGUCCUAAGGGUAAGCCGAACGGCGAUCUCGAUGGAUAAUCGGUUAAUAUUCCGAUACUAACAUAUACCUCGAUGGAGAGACGAAGGAACGUAAGUGCCGCCACCUGACGGAAUAGGUGGUUAAAGGGCUUAGGUAUAGGGGCAGAUUAAGAGUUAGUCCUUGCUGAAACCUGACAGUACAGAGAGCCUACGGGCAAUUUGAUAGUGCACCCAAGUCGACUUCCGAGAAAAUCUUCUAAGUUAUAGUAUAUGUUACCCGUACCGUAAACCGACACAGGUGGUCGAGGAGAGUAUCCUAAGGUGCUCGAGUGAAUCACGGUUAAGGAACUAGGCAAAUUAACCCCGUAACUUCGGGAAAAGGGGUCCCUAUGAAAGUAGGGCGCAGCGAAGAGGUCCAGGCGACUGUUUAUCAAAAACACAGGGCUCUGCAAAUUCGAAAGAAGACGUAUAGGGCCUGACACCUGCCCGGUGCUGGAAGGUUAAGAGGGGAUGUCAUCGCAAGAGAAGCAUUGAAUCGAAGCCCCAGUAAACGGCGGCCGUAACUAUAACGGUCCUAAGGUAGCGAAAUUCCUUGUCGGGUAAGUUCCGACCUGCACGAAUGGUG
rnacentral:rRNA from 1 species